rnacentral:tRNA from 1 species
GCCAAUUUAGUUUCAAUCAGGUAAAAUAUUCUCUAAAUAAUGUCGAGAAAGAUACAGGUUCAAAUCCUGUAAUUGGAGCA